rnacentral:rRNA from 1 species
UACGUAGGGUGCAAGCGUUGUCCGGAAUUAUUGGGCGUAAAGAGCUCGUAGGCGGUCUGUCGCGUCUGCUGUGAAAACUCGGGGCUUAACCCCGGGCCUGCAGUGGGUACGGGCAGACUAGAGUGCGGUAGGGGAGACUGGAAUUCCUGGUGUAGCGGUGAAAUGCGCAGAUAUCAGGAGGAACACCGGUGGCGAAGGCGGGUCUCUGGGCCGUAACUGACGCUGAGGAGCGAAAGCGUGGGUAGCAAACAGG